GAUGAACGCUAGCGGCAGGCUUAAUACAUGCAAGUCGAGGGACAGCACAGGUAGCAAUACUGGGUGGUAACCGGCAAACGGGUGCGGAACACGUACACAACCUUCCUUUAAGUGGGGGAUAGCCCAGAGAAAUUUGGAUUAAUACCCCGUAAUAUAGUUGAAUGGCAUCAUUUGAUUAUUAUAGCUACGGCGCUUAAUGAUGGGUGUGCGGCUGAUUAGAUAGUUGGCGGGGUAACGGCCCACCAAGUCUACGGUCAGUAGCUGAUGUGAGAGCAUGAUCAGCCACACGGGCACUGAGACACGGGCCCGACUCCUACGGGAGGCAGCAGUAAGGAAUAUUGGUCAAUGGGCGCAAGUCUGAACCAGCCAUGCCGCGUGAAGGAUUAAGGUCCUCUGGAUUGUAAACUUCUUUUAUUUGGGACGAAAAAGGGUCUUUCUAGGUCAACUGACGGUACCAGAUGAAUAAGCACCGGCUAACUCCGUGCCAGCCGCCGCGGUAAUAC
rnacentral:rRNA from 1 species